CAAAAUAAAGCUCUAAGUUAGUUUUUCUUUUACAUGGAAAGGGUAUUGAAGGUUUCAAUUGUUUUGA
rnacentral:tRNA from 1 species